rnacentral:rRNA from 1 species
GUAGGGUGCAAGCGUUAAUCGGAAUUACUGGGCGUAAAGCGUGCGCAGGCGGUUUUGUAAGUCUGUCGUGAAAGCCCCGGGCUUAACCUGGGAAUUGCGAUGGAGACUGCAAGGCUUGAAUCUGGCAGAGGGGGGUAGAAUUCCACGUGUAGCAGUGAAAUGCGUAGAGAUGUGGAGGAACACCGAUGGCGAAGGCAGCCCCCUGGGUCAAGAUUGACGCUCAUGCACGAAAGCGUGGGGGGGAGCAAACAGGAUUAGAUACCCUGGUAGUCCACGCCCUAAACCGAUGUCUACUAGUUGUCGGGUCUUAAUUGACUUGGUAACGCAGCUAACGCGUGAAGUAGACCGCCUGGGAGUACGGUCGCAAGAUUA